rnacentral:rRNA from 1 species
GAUGAACGCUGGCGGCGUGCAUAAUACAUGCAAGUCGAGCGAACAGAUAAGGAGUUUGCUCCUUUGUCGCUAGCGGCGGACGGGUGAGUAACAAGUGAGUAACCUACCUAUAAGAACGGGACAACUUCGGGAAUACGGAGCUAAUACCGGAUAACAUUUGGAACCGCAUGGUUCAAAAGUGAAAGAGGGUUUUGCUAUCACUUAUAGACGGUCCCGCGCCGUAUUAGCUAGUUGGUAAGGUAACGGCUUACCGAGGCAACGUUACGUAGCCGACCUGAGAGGGUGGUCGGCCACACUGGAACUGCGACACCGUCCAGACUCCUAGCGGCGCCAUCCGUAGGCCAUCUUCCGCCAUGGGCGAAGACCUUACGGAGCUGCGCCACGUCAGUGAUGAAGGGUUUCGCGUCGUAAAACUCUGUUAUUAGGGAAUAACACACUUUUAAGUGACUGUGCACGUCUUGACGGUACCUAAUCAGAAAGCCACUGCUAACUACGUG